AUAGGAAGAUAAAAGGCAUCUUUUAUCUCUUAAAAGACCUAGUAAUAGGUAUGCUUUAGGAGGGGCUUGCGCCAUAUUAGUUAGUUGGUAGGGUAAUGGCCUACCAAGACGAUGAUGUGUAGCUGGACUGAGAGGUUGAACAGCCACAUUGGGACUGAGACACGGCCCAAACUCCUACGGGAGGCAGCAGUAGGGAAUUUUCGGCAAUGGAGGAAACUCUGACCGAGCAACGCCGCGUGAAUGACGAAGUACUUCGGUAUGUAAAGUUCUUUUAUCAAGGAAGAAAAGCAAAUGGCGAACCAUUUGUUUGCCGGUACUUGAUGAAUAAGCCCCGGCUAAUUAUGUGCCAGCAGCCGCGGUAAGACAUAAGGGGCAAGUGUUAUCCGGAAUUAUUGGGCGUAAAGGGUGCGUAGGCGGUCUAGUAAGUCAGUGGUGUAAUGGCAACGCUUAACGUUGUCCGGCUAUUGAAACUGCUAAACUUGAGUUAGAUAGAGGCGAGUGGAAUUCCAUGUGUAGCGGUAAAAUGCGUAAAUAUAUGGAGGAACACCAGAGGCGUAGGCGGCUCGCUGGGUCUUAACUGACGCUGAGGCACGAAAGCGUGGGGAGCAAACAGGAUUAGAUACCCUGGUAGUCCACGCCGUAAACGAUGAGUACUAAGUGUCGGGUUAAACCGGUACUGAAGUUAACACAUUAAGUACUCCGCCUGAGUAGUACGUACGCAAGUAUGAAACUUAAAGGAAUUGACGGGACUCCGCACAAGCGGUGGAUCAUGUUGUUUAAUUCGAAGAUACCCGAAAAACCUUACCAGGUCUUGACAUGUUUUUGCAAAAUGAUAGUAAUAUCGUGGAGGUUACCAGAAACACAGGUGGUGCAUGGUUGUCGUCAGCUCGUGUCGUGAGAUGUUAGGUUAAGUCCUAAAACGAGCGAAACCCUUAUCGUUAGUUGCCAGCACGUUAUGGUGGGGACUUUAACGAGACUGCCAAUGAUAAAUUGGAGGAAGGUGAGGAUCACGUCAAAUCAGCAUGCCCCUUAUGACCUGGGCUACAAACGUGAUACAAUGGCUGUUACAAAGGGUAGCUGAAACGCAAGUUCUUGGCCAAUCCCCAAAAACAGUCCCAGUCCGGAUUGAAGUCUGCAACUCGACUUCAUGAAGUUGGAAUCGCUAGUAAUCGCGAAUCAGCAUGUCGCGGUGAAUACGUU
rnacentral:rRNA from 1 species